AUUGAACGCUGGCGGCAUGCCUUACACAUACAAGUCGAACGGCAGCGGGGGAGAAGCUUGCUUUUCCUGCCGGCGAGUGGCGAACGGGUGAGUAAUACAUCGGAACGUGCCCUGUAGUGGGGGAUAACUAGUCGAAAGAUUAGCUAAUACCGCAUACGACCUGAGGGUGAAAGUGGGGGACCGCAAGGCCUCAUGCUAUAGGAGCGGCCGAUGUCUGAUUAGCUAGUUGGUGGGGUAAAGGCCUACCAAGGCGACGAUCAGUAGCUGGUCUGGGAGGACGAUCAGCCACACUGGGACUGAGACACGGCCCAGACUCCUACGGGAGGCAGCAGUGGGGAAUUUUGGACUAUGGGCGAAAGCCUGAUCCAGCAAUGCCGCGUGUGUGAAGAAGGCCUUCGGGUUGUAAAGCACUUUUGUCCGGAAAGAAAUGGCUCUGGUUAAUACCUGGGGUCGAUGACGGUACCGGAAGAAUAAGGACCGGCUAACUACGUGCCAGCCGCCGCAGUAA
rnacentral:rRNA from 1 species